GUUCGAAUGUUGGAAUUGGGAGACAAAGUAAGUUUAGGUCUUAUUGAUUAAAUUCAUGAAGGUUCAAGUCCUUCUUCGAAUA
rnacentral:tRNA from 1 species